rnacentral:lncRNA from 1 species
AAAUACUGUCUGUGAGUACUGCGUUAAAAACAAAUCUGAGGGCCGGGUGUGUUGGCUCAAUCCUGUGGUCCUAGCAUUUUGGGAGGCCGAGGCAGGAGAGUUGCUCAAGCUCAGGAGUUCGAGAACAGCCUAGACAACAUGGACAGUGAGCUGGACAACAUUGCUUCAUUAUUUCAGCUGCUUGUGAAGGAGGUCAUGAGGAUGGAGUUCUCAUGAAUGAGAUGACUGCCCUUGUAGAACAGACUCAAGAGAGACUCUUGCUCCUUACAUCAUGUGAAGACACAGAAAGAAGGUAUCAUCUAUGAAUCAGGAAACCGUUCCUUGAUCUUGGACUUCCCAGUCUCCAGAACUGUGAGAAAUAAAUGUCUCUGGUUUAUAAGCCACUUCAUUUAUGGUAUUUUCUUAUAGCAACCUGAACAGACUAAGACAAAGGAUAACUUGCUUUACUCAAAGUCUGCCUAUGUAAAUGUUAGUCUUAUCUAAAAAAUAUCUUCACGGCAACAUCUAGACUGGUAUUUGACCAAAUAUCUGGAUAUCAUGGCUUUGCCAAGUUGACAUAUAAAUUUAACUAUCACAAGUCCACCCUUUGUCAACUUGGCAUUGGUAUACAUAUCCUUAAACUUUACAUACUUAAUCUCCAAAUAGAAAUAAAUAACAAUGUCGUAUUUCCUCCUAACAUGAUACAACCAUCCUGCAUACAACCUGAAAUGCAUAACCUUUUUUUCCAGAAAAGGAUACAGAGUGCUUGGGUGAUGUUCACUCUUCUCCUUAAUAUCUUGUAACUUAAAUAUUAUAAUAUUAAGCUAGCAAUACUU